rnacentral:rRNA from 1 species
GUGGCGCACGGGUGCGUAACGCGUAUGCAACCUACCUUAAUCAGGGGGAUAGCCCGGAGAAAUCCGGAUUAAUACCGCAUAAAAUCACAGUCCCCCCUGGGACAAUGAUCAAACAUUUAUGGGAUUGAGAUGGGCAUGCGUGUCAUUAGCUAGUUGGCGGGGUAACGGCCCACCAAGGCGACGAUGACUAGGGGAUCUGAGAGGAUGGCCCCCCACACUGGUACUGAGACACGGACCAGACUCCUACGGGAGGCAGCAGUAAGGAAUAUUGGUCAAUGGAGGCAACUCUGAACCAGCCAUGCCGCGUGCAGGAAGACUGCCCUAUGGGUUGUAAACUGCUUUUAUCCGGGAAUAAACCUUUCUACGUGUAGAAAGCUGAAUGUACCGGAAGAAUAAGGAUCGGCUAACUCCGUGCCAGCAGCCGCGGUAAUACGGAGGAUCCAAGCGUUAUCCGGAUUUAUUGGGUUUAAAGGGUGCGUAGGCGGCCUGUUAAGUCAGGGGUGAAAGACGGUAGCUCAACUAUCGCAGUGCCCUUGAUACUGAUGGGCUUGAAUGGACUAGAGGUAGGCGGAAUGAGACAAGUAGCGGUGAAAUGCAUAGAUAUGUCUCAGAACACCGAUUGCGAAGGCAGCUUACUAUGGUCUUAUUGACGCUGAGGACCGAAAGCGUGGGGAUCAAACAGGAUUAGAUACCCUGGUAGUCCACGCCCUAAACGAUGAACACUCGCUGUUGGCGAUACACAGUCAGCGGCUAAGCGAAAGCGUUAAGUGUUCCACCUGGGGAGUACGCUCGCAAGAGUGAAACUCAAAGGAAUUGACGGGGGCCCGCACAAGCGGAGGAGCAUGUGGUUUAAUUCGAUGAUACGCGAGGAACCUUACCC